GAUGAACGCUAGCGGCAGGCCUAAUACAUGCAAGACGAACGGUAAGUUGAGUAGCAAUACUUAGCCAAGAGUGUCGUACGGGUGCGUAACACGUAUGCAACCUACCCUAUACAGGAGGAUAGCCUAGGGAAACCUGGAUUAACCCUUCAUAGUAUUAUUGGAUGGCAUCAUUUGAUAAUUAAAACUGAGGUGGUAUAGGAUGGGCAUGCGUCUGAUUAGUCAGUUGGCGGGGUAAUGGCCCACCAAGACGAUGAUCAGUAGGGGUUCUGAGAGGAAGAUCCCCCACACUGGCACUGAGAUACGGGCCAGACUCCUACGGGAGGCAGCAGUAGGGAAUAUUGGUCAAUGGAUGCAAGUCUGAACCAGCCAUGCCGCGUGCAGGAAGAAGGCCUUCUGGGUUGUAAACUGCUUUGCCAGGGGAUAAAAUUUCCAUGCGUGGAAAACUGAAGGUACCUGGUGAAUAAGCCACGGCUAACUACGUGCCAGCAGCCGCG
rnacentral:rRNA from 1 species